GACGAACGCUGGCGGCGUGCUUAACACAUGCAAGUCGAACGAAGAGCGAUGGAAGCUUGCUUCUAUCAAUCUUAGUGGCGAACGGGUGAGUAACGCGUAAUCAACCUGCCCUUCAGAGGGGGACAACAGUUGGAAACGACUGCUAAUACCGCAUACGAUCUAAUCUCGGCAUCGAGGAUAGAUGAAAGGUGGCCUCUACAUGUAAGCUAUCACUGAAGGAGGGGAUUGCGUCUGAUUGGCUAGUUGGAGGGGUAACGGCCCACCAAGGCGAUGAUCAGUAGCCGGUCUGAGAGGAUGAACGGCCACAUUGGGACUGAGACACGGCCCAGACUCCUACGGGAGGCAGCAGUGGGGAAUCUUCCGCAAUGGACGAAAGUCUGACGGAGCAACGCCGCGUGAGUGAUGACGGCCUUCGGGUUGUAAAGCUCUGUUAAUCGGGACGAAAGGCCUUCUUGCGAAUAGUGAGAAGGAUUGACGGUACCGGAAUAGAAAGCCACGGCUAACUACGUG
rnacentral:rRNA from 1 species